AGAGUUUGAUCCUGGCUCAGGAUGAACGCUAGCGGCAGGCCUAACACAUGCAAGUCGAGGGGUAGGGUUAGCUUGCUAACCUGAGACCGGCGCACGGGUGCGUAACGCGUAUGCAAUCUACCUUGUACAGAGGGAUAGCCCAGAGAAAUUUGGAUUAAUACCUCAUAGUAUUAUCGAAUGGCAUCAUUUGAUUAUUAAAGUUCCAACGGUACAAGAUGAGCAUGCGUCCCAUUAGUUAGUUGGUAAGGUAACGGCUUACCAAGACGAUGAUGGGUAGGGGUCCUGAGAGGGAGAUCCCCCACACUGGUACUGAGACACGGACCAGACUCCUACGGGAGGCAGCAGUGAGGAAUAUUGGACAAUGGGCGCAAGCCUGAUCCAGCCAUGCCGCGUGCAGGAUGAAGCAUCUAUGGUGUGUAAACUGCUUUUAUACAGGAAGAAACCCUACCACGUGUGGUAGAUUGACGGUACUGUAGGAAUAAGGAUCGGCUAACUCCGUGCCAGCAGCCGCGGUAAUACGGAGGAUCCAAGCGUUAUCCGGAAUCAUUGGGUUUAAAGGGUCCGUAGGCGGUUUUGUAAGUCAGUGGUGAAAUCUGGUCGCUUAACGAUCAAACGGCCAUUGAUACUGCAAGACUUGAAUUAUUGGGAAGUAACUAGAAUAUGUAGUGUAGCGGUGAAAUGCUUAGAUAUUACAUGGAAUACCAAUUGCGAAGGCAGGUUACUAUCAAUAUAUUGACGCUGAUGGACGAAAGCGUGGGGAGCGAACAGGAUUAGAUACCCUGGUAGUCCACGCCGUAAACGAUGGAUACUAGCUGUUGGGCGCAAGCUCAGUGGCUAAGCGAAAGUGAUAAGUAUCCCACCUGGGGAGUACGAACGCAAGUUUGAAACUCAAAUGAAUUGAC
rnacentral:rRNA from 1 species